CCCUUUUGUUUUCAUUUUAUUCUGUACUUGUAAUUCUUUAGUUGCAUAUUUGUUUCAUUUUAUGGAGUCAAGAAAAUAGUAGCUUAGAAAAAGACACAUAAAUUUGGUGAAGGUAGUCCAACUGAAGAGAGUCUUCUUUUAUGUUUUUGCUGUUUAGGUUUCUAAAGCAGCAAUUACAUGUAGAACAGUGGUUGUCAAUCAGAGAUUUUUAUUCAUGUUAAGAUUUGAAAUACUAUGUACGAUUCCUUAUACAUGUAUAUACAUGAUAUAAGCUCAUUAUUACACUUGCAUAUUCGAAGAACACGUCACAAGAGGGUUUCAUAAGAAAUAAAAAAAUAUAAAA
rnacentral:lncRNA from 1 species